rnacentral:tRNA from 5 species
GCGCCCGUAGCUCAGCUGGAUAGAGCGUCGGUCUACGGAACCGAAGGUCACAGGUUCGAAUCCUGUCGGGCGCG